GAUGAACGCUGGCGGCGUGCCUAAUACAUGCAAGUCGAGCGAACAGAUAAGGAGCUUGCUCCUUUGACGUUAGCGGCGGACGGGUGAGUAACACGUGGGUAACCUACCUAUAAGACUGGGAUAACUUCGGGAAACCGGAGCUAAUACCGGAUAACAUUUGAAACGGAUUGUUUUAAAGUUAAAGGUGGGUUUUCUUUUACUUAUUGGAGGGCCCUCGCCGUAUUAGCUAGUUGGUAAGGUUACGGCUUACCAAGGCAAAGAUACGUUGCCGACCUGAGAGGGUGAUCGGCCACACUGGAACUGAGACACGGUCCAGACUCCUACGGGAGGCAGCAGUAGGGAAUCUUCCGCAAUGGGCGAAAGCCUGACGGAGCAACGCCGCGUGAGUGAUGAAGGGUUUCGGCUCGUAAAACUCUGUUAUUAGGGAAGAACAAAUGUGUAAGUAACUGUGCACGUCUUGACGGUACCUAAUCAGAAAGCCACGGCUAACUACGUG
rnacentral:rRNA from 1 species